rnacentral:rRNA from 1 species
UGCGUAGGUGGGUUGGUAAGUCAGUGGUGAAAUCCCCGAGCUUAACUUGGGAACUGCCAUUGAUACUAUCAGUCUUGAAUACCGUGGAGGUCAGCGGAAUAUGUCAUGUAGCGGUGAAAUGCUUAGAUAUGACAUAGAACACCAAUUGCGAAGGCAGCUGGCUACACGAAUAUUGACACUGAGGCACGAAAGCGUGGGGAUCAAACA